CUACCCGCGUACAUAUACAUAAAUAAAAAAACUCUGAUUAUGCUUCCUGUAAUCUCGUUAUCCAUCUAGCUGUAAUUCUGAUUAUGCUUCCAGUAAUCUCGUUAUCUUUGGGUUCCUGCUGAUAGUGCGUUUCUGAAACAGCUGUGCACACUGAAAUUUGCAGAACUCCUGGGGAACUCCUGCAGAUUACAAAACAAUAAUAAUUGUAAAAGCAUUUAUUCUUGGCCUUGUUGCACUGCAGUGACCUGGUUAGGCUAUUAGAUUACCAAAAUAUCACUGUUUCCAAAUACAAGUUUGGUAGCAGAAACAGGGCACACGUGCCCUCAGCCUAACAGCAAUGCGUUAUUCACAAUAAAGUAGGGAUCCCUGCAAGAACAGAAACCUUCUGCUGUGCGGUUCCCCGACAGAAGUUCAGCAGACAUUGCUGUCCCCCUCUCCAUCUAUUUGCCUUUCUUUAUUUUCACUGUGUAUUUUUGGUACAGUUCUCAGACUGAGUUAAAAAAAAACAACUUUUUAAAAUCCUGGUUUCCAUUCUCCAUGUUCAAGGUCCAGGUGUUUCUCCUUCACCAAAGUUCCCAAUGACAGUUCCUAUCCCUCAAUUACAGUUCCCAUUUAACGAGUGAGUCACCUCCCCAUCGCAAGGUGGCCUUCUUUCCUCUCGGGGGACAGACACUGUGCGAGAGGACUGAGACUUGCCCUGUCCCCACAGAGGAAAGAGUUUGUGUAGAGAUGAGUGGCUGCUCAUGGGACCUGUGCUGCUACAGCACCAGGACCAGAAUGGAAACCCUUUACGCCCUUCUGCCAGAGUACAGACACAUGCUUGGAAAAUUACUACGAGUAUUUGUGUGUGUGUGUAAUUACACGGUGUUUCAUAGGCUGUGCCGGUAAGUAGUGCAGGUCUCACAGGCUAACAAGGGCUGUAAGCGUCAGGCUUCUGUUCAACACCUUAAGACACCGCAGCUUGCAAAGCUGAGCUGGAAAUCGUGCCAAAUCUUUAUGCAAAAGCUGUUCCUAGACAUCCACGCCACACAGCCGCUGUAGCGUGGUGCAGCAAUGGGUGCGACCUGCUGCCUCGGCGCACAGAGGUUGCUCCCCUGUGCUCCCAGCGCCGCGGCUGCUCCCGGAGAGCUCCUUGGGGCAAAAACAGCAGCCAUAGCACUGCCCCGUGGGCUAUAGCCCGGCUGCCUGGCCCUGGGUGUCUCACCUUGCUGGUGUUUCAGAUCUGUGAGGAGGAAAUCUAGGAGAAAAGCAGGUGCUGGAGGAGAUCGGGGUGUGCCGACCUUUUGAGGACCUGGAUCCUAAUUCUUAAACAGCCUUACAAAACACCAUUAAGGUUAAUACAAAGGACAAAAGACAUUCAGCAUCACCUGUCAAGAAUGAGUGACGUCCCUGGCAAACAUGAAAAGGGCUGCAUUGCAUUCCUAUUGAUCUUUUCCACUGUGCAUCUUGUGUGAUCCUUUCUCACAGAGACAUUAUUUGAAGGUGUUUUAUAAUCCUUUUUGAUGUAUACAAUCCUAUCAAGCUAUCAAGGCAGGAAAUACUUUUAUGCUGAGCCUGUCAACUUUCUUCCCUAAUAUUCAACCUUCAGGUAGAAUAAAAUACCAUAACUCUGCUUUCCUGUGCAAUGUGAAUGGAAGGCUAGCAAUACACACAUGAUAUUGUUGUGUUUUUUCUUGUUUCAUUAAAAAACUGUCAGAAAAAAAGAGACCAGUUUUAAGAAUGUAUGCCCUUUACCAUCCACAGAAAAUAAAAAUGAUGAAAAUUGUUUUUUAAGUCUUUGCUGGAAACAAA